GAAUGCAUAUUGUGAUUGUCAUGGAAUAUAUAUAUAUGUGUGUGGAUGUGGACAGGACGAAAAUUGUAGAUUAUGCUUGUAUGAGAUGCAGAUGCGAUCUUGUGAUUGUCGUUUAGAUUGGGUGUCGUUACGCUAAAGUAUGACUGUGUGCUGGUGAUCUGAGGGGUGUAUUGACUGUAUAGUUUGAUUGACUGAUGUAUUAGUAUGUUAUUGACAGACAUAUGACCUAAGUGAGAUAAGUUGACUGUUAGGACGUUGAGAGAAAGAACUCUAUGUUUUGAAGUAUCUGAAAGAUGGGUUGAAUGGAAUGAGGGGAUAAAUUGUUAGGUUGUAUUGGGAUGAUUACCUUGUAGGUGUCCCACGGGAUCACCAAUUUAUUUUGCACCUUCGGGAGCAUUUGACUGAUAUGUGUUCUGCAGAACACUUGACUGAUAUGUACGUCCCUCGGGGCGUCAGACUGAUAUGUACGUCCUUCGGGGCGUUAGACUGAGAUGUGUAUCCUACGGGAUCACAAGACUGCGACUGUACAGGGUGUCCCAAUAGAACUUUAACAAUUUAUUUUCCCCUGACGAGACCAGUAGAGGGUCUCUUACUGAGUAUUUAAAAUACUCACCCUUCUUAUGUUUAAUUUUCAGGCAAAGGUAAUAAAGGCGGCAAACCGGCGAGGGGCAGGAAGGAAGCGUGAUGCCAUAGGAAACGUGUAAUUGCUUCCGCUUAUUUAAGAUUGAUUUGAAAUUUAGUUUACAAACGUUUGUUGCAAACAGUAUUAUUUUUAUGUUUUCUUGAAUGUUUAAAAAUCAGGCCUGACUUGAAGAUGUUUUUUUUAAAUUGACUUACGUUUCAUUUUUAUAACAAAGUCUUUUGUUAAAAAUUAACGACCUCGACUUACUUAGAAAAGUUGGGUCGUUACAGUUGGUAUCAGAGCCUAAGUUUUAGGUUCUGUAGACUGACUUACGAUGUAAGUCUAUGUUUUUGUGUCCUAUGGCUAACGCGACCCUUCGUCUCUCGUCAGGUAUGCUUUAUGCUUAUAUGUAUGGUUUAUGUAUAUGACCUUGCCUAAGUUAAACUAGAAUUACAUGAAUGUUAUGAUUUAAUGGUGAAGGAUUUAAUGGUGAAAUUUAGGAAAAAUGUUGCCAUGUAGAGGUGUUCAAAGGAGUGGUCGAGUAGUAGAAAAGUAAGACGUUGUUAGCGAAAUUGUCUGUUUUGUGAUUGGAAAUCUAAGAAAAAUAAGUUAUGUAGGUGGUUUUAAAGAGGACUAAAUACACGGUCAAGUUUAUACGAAACACAUUAAAUGGUUUUAGAAUGGAGGUAUUGGAAAAGAAACAAGGAAGAUGAGCAUGGUUGUCUUGAUGUGACUUUAAGAAACAAUUUUGAGUUUCUCGUGAAUGAAAAGUUACUAGUUUGGAGUUUGAAAAUUGGAAUGUAGUUUAACCAUGUAAACAUAAAAUGUUCAGCGAAAAUGUAGUUUCUAAUCCUUCUCCAGAGGCUAGUUUCAAGUACAAAGAGGUUGGAACUAUCGUUUCGCUAAAAGUUAUCCCAACUAUGAAGGUUAGUAAGUUGCUUGACCAGGGUACCUGUUGUAUUUGACUAUUGUGGUAGACACCAGAGAAGUCGAUGUUCUUUGUUAUUUGAAUCAGUGGUGAAAAAGUAUUAUGAUAUUUGUCUAGAAGAGUUUCUAAGAUUACCGCGCUAAACAGAAAUUGGUCUUCCUAUUGAGAUAGAGUUAGACUCGUUCCUAUAUCUAAAGCUUCAUACAAAAUGGCCCCAACAGAGUUGAAAGAUUUGAAGGUGCAAUUGAAAGAAAUGUUUGACAAGGACUACAUUCGACGAAGUAUGUUAUCUUGGGGUGCACCAAUUUUUGUUUAUUAAGAAGAAAGAUGGGUCGAUGCACUUAUGUUUUGAUUGUAGAAAGUUGAAUAAGGUGUCGGUUAAGAAUAAAUAUCUUUUACCAAUGAAUGAGGAUUUGUUUGAUCAACUGCAAUAAGUCCGUGUUCUUUAAGAUUGAAUUACAUUCAGGUUAUGACUUGUUGAGGAUUAGAGAACAGUGACAUUCCUAAGGCAGAUUUUCGUUCGAGAUAUGGACAUCAUGAGUUCAUUAUGAUGUCUUUUGAGUUGGCAAAUGCUCAAACAAUGUUUACGACUUGAUGAACAAAGUGUUUAACGAUCUCUUAGACACUUUCGUGAUUGUAUUUAUUGACGAUAUCUUAAUUUAUUCCAAAAUAGAGACAGCGCAUGAGGAGCAUUUAACAUGGUUUUAGAGGCUCUUCGAGUCAACAAAUUGUAUGCAAAGUUUUCAAAAUGUGAGUUUUGGAUGAGGCCAAGUAUCUUUCCAAGCCAUGUGGUAUCUAGAGAUGACAUUUAUGUGGAUCUCAUAAAAGAUUGAAGUUGUUACCAGUUGGCCUCGACUUUCAUAGUCAGUGAGGUUCGUAGUCUUUUUGGGUUCAGCAGGUUAUUACUAACGGUUUGUAUAAGAAUUUUCUCGUAUAGCUACUCCUUUGACUCAGUUAACUAAGAAAAGGGACUCUGUUUGUUUGGGACAAAGCCUAUGAGGAUAGUGUUCAGGAUCUUAAGCAGAAGCUUGUACAACUCCCGUGCUUACCGUACAUGAUGGUUCAGAAUGUUCCGUAAUUUAUAGUGAUGCUUUUAGGAAAGUUUAAAAGGUAUUCUUAUUCAACAAGUUAAAGUAGUUGCUUGUACUCCUCGUGAGGAAAAUUGUCCAACUUAUGAUAUGGAAUUGACAGUUGUGGUUUUUACAUUAAUGAUUUGAAGGCACUAUAUGUAAUGAUGAAAAGAUAUAGAUAUUUUCUAACCAAAAGAGUAUAAAAUACUUCUUCACUCAAAAGAAGUUGAGUAUGAGAUAGCAAAGAUGGUUUCAGUUAGUAAAUGACUAUGAUUGUGAGAUUUUGUACCAUCUAGGUAAGGCGAAUGUGGAAGUUGGUGCUCUUCGUAGAAAAGUAUCACAUUUUGACAGCACUUAUUACCAGACAGGUUUCAUUAGACAAAAACCACGAGAGAGCUGAGAUUGUAGUUUCAGUGGGGGAAGUCACCUCACAGUUAGCUCAGUUGUCAGUACAUCCGAUCUUGAGACAAAGAAUUCUUGUGGUUCAAUUCAUUGAUCCUUAUUUGAUUGAGAAGCAUCGCCUAGUAGAAGUAGGGCAAGUUAAGGAGUUUUCCAUAUCCUUUGAUGAUGAACUUAUGUUUGAGAGAGAAUUAUGUGUGCCAACAGAAAAUGCAAUUAAGACAAGGUUAUUGGUUGAGACUCGUAGUUUCCCAUUUCUCAUGCAUCCAAGUAGCACAAAAAUGUAUCCGGAUCUGAAAAGAGUUUGUUACUAGCGUAAUAUGAAGAGAGAAAUGGAAGAUCUUGUUAGUAAGUGCUUGGUGUGCUAGCAGGUUAAAGCACCAAGAUAGAAACCAACAGGUUUGUUGCAACCUUUGAGUAUAUUAGAGUGGAAGUGGGAGAAUGUAUCUAUGGAUUUUAUUAUAUAAUUGCCUAAAACCCUGAAGGGUUACACAGUGAUUUGGGUUAUUGUCGAUAGGCUUACGAAAUCGGCACAUUUCAUUUCAAAAAAAAAAAACCAAAAUCCACUUAUACUGCUAGUAAGUGGGCAGAGUUGUAUUUAACUGAGAUUGUGAGACUGCAUGGAGUGCCUGUAUCGAUUGUUUCUGAUAGGGAUGCACGGUUUACUUCCAAGUUUUGGAAGGGACUUCAGACUGCUAUGGGUACGAGAUUGGAUUUCAGUACAGCCUUUCAUCCACAGACUGAUGGUCAAACUGAACGUUUGAACCAAGUUUUAGAGGAUAUGCUACGAGCUUGUGUUAUAGAGUUUCCAGGUAGUUGGGACUCUCAUCUACAUUUGAUGGAGUUUGCUUAUAACAACAGUUUCCAGGCUACCAUCGGUAUGGCACCAUUUGAGGCUUUGUAUGGCAAAUGUUGUAGAACCCCUGUUUGUUGGAGUGAGGUUGGUGAACAUAGAUUGAUGGGACCUGAAUUAGUUCGGUCUACUAAUGAGGCUAUUCAAAAGAUUAGAGCACGUAUGCAAACAGCGCAGAGUAGACAGAAGAGUUAUGCGGAUGUACGGCGAAAAGACCUUAAGUUCGAUGUGGGAGAAAAGGUAUUCUUGAAGGUAGCACCUAUGAAGGGUGUUAUGCGUUUUGAGAAGAAAGGAAAGUUAAGUCCUCGUUUUGUUGGACCAUUUGAGAUCUUAGAGAGGGUUGGUGUUGUGGCGUAUCGCUUGGCAUUACCACCAUCUCUCUCUGCAGUUCAUAAUGUUUUUCAUGUUUCGAUGUUGAGGAAGUAUGUGGCCGAUACGUCUCAUGUAGUGGACUAUGAACCCUUGGAGAUUGAUGAGCAUUUGAGCUAUGUAGAACAACCUGUGGAGAUUCUGGCUAGAGAGGUAAAGAUGCUUCGUAAUAGAAGCAUUCCAUUAGUAAAGGUUUUGUGGCGGAAUCAUCGAAUUGAAGAGGCGACAUGGGAGCGAGAGGAAGAGAUGAGGACUCGUUAUCCAGAGUUAUUUCAGGAUUAGAACUUUCGAGGACGAAAGUUUCUUAAGGAGGGAAGAAUGUAAUGCCCCAAAGGUAUGUAUAUAUAUAUAUUUUGUUUUUAAUUAUUAUAUAUAUAUUAUAUUAUAUACUUAAUUUAAAUAAAAAAGAAAAGAAAAAGAAAUUUAUCUCUCUCUCUCUCGCGCGCACACAACCCCUCUCUCAUUUUUCUUUUCUUCUCCUUCCGGUACCCUAGCAGCCGCCCACCCAUUUUCCCUAUUCUUCUUCCCGUCCUGCCGCAGCCAACCGCAGUCAGCCGCCCCAUCCGUUCGCACAGCAACUGCCGUCGGCCAUCUCCAUCUUCUCUUUUCCUCUCCGUUCCGUCCAAACCCAGCCGGACGUCGCUGCAACCGUCGGCCGCCAUCUCUGUUCGCGAAGCAAGGCCGCCGCGUGAACCUGUAACCGCCGGCUGUCUCCCCUCUCCUUUCUCCUCUGUUUUCAGCCCAGCCGCCGCCGAUUCCUUCUCCUCCGUUGUCUGCACUGCCGCGCGACUCUCCGGCCAUCUGUAUACGGUCUCUCCGCCGCACGUCAUCUCUUCGCAAAGCCACUGCUCGAUUUCUUUCGCGAAGAUUUGGGUAAGUUGCAAAAAGAUUCACAUUGGGUUGAAUUUAAAUGACUGAUGCGUUGAAGGGAAUUAUUGAGAAAUUGUCUUAAUGUUUAGGUUCGUUCUUCAUAGACUUCAACGUGGUUAAGGAGCUUAACAAAUUUGAAGGUAAGGAUUUUCUACUGGACUCACUUAUGAUUGUGAAUUGUAUGUCUGAAUGAUUAUCUUUGACUGAGUAAAGAUGUUGAGAUGAUACUUAUGAAUGUACACUGUGGAUUGACUGAAAAUAUAUAUAUAUGCAUAGGAAUUGAAGUAGACUUAAUGUUGAAUGCAUAUUGUGAUUGUCAUGGAAUAUAUAUAUAUGUGUGUGGAUGUGGACAGGACGAAAAUUGUAGAUUAUGCUUGUAUGAGAUGCAGAUGCGAUCUUGUGAUUGUCGUUUAGAUUGGGUGUCGUUACGCUAAAGUAUGACUGUGUGCUGGUGAUCUGAGGGGUGUAUUGACUGUAUAGUUUGAUUGACUGAUGUAUUAGUAUGUUAUUGACAGACAUAUGACCUAAGUGAGAUAAGUUGACUGUUAGGACGUUGAGAGAAAGAACUCUAUGUUUUGAAGUAUCUGAAAAAUGGAUUGAAUGGAAUGAGGGGAUAAAUUGUUAGGUUGUAUUGGGAUGAUUACCUUGUAGGUGUCCCACGGGAUCACCAAUUUAUUUUGCACCUUCGGGAGCAUUUGACUGAUAUGUGUUCUGCAGAACACUUGACUGAUAUGUACGUCCCUCGGGGCGUCAGACUGAUAUGUACGUCCUUCGGGGCGUUAGACUGAGAUGUGUAUCCUACGGGAUCACAAGACUGCGACUGUACAGGGUGUCCCAAUAGAACUUUAACAAUUUAUUUUUCCCCUGACGAGACCAGUAGAGGGUCUCUUACUGAGUAUUUAAAAUACUCACCCUUCUUAUGUUUAAUUUUCAGGCAAAGGUAAUAAAGGCGGCAAACCGGCGAGGGGCAGGAAGGAAGCGUGAUGCCAUAGGAAACGUGUAAUUGCUUCCGCUUAUUUAAGAUUGAUUUGAAAUUUAGUUCACAAACGUUUGUUACAAACAGUAUUAUUUUAUGUUUUCUUGAAUGUUUAAAAAUCAGGCCUGACUUGAAGAUGUUUUUUUUUUAAAAAUUUCUUACGUUUUGUUUUAUAUUAAUCAAAGUCGUUUAUUUUGUUAAAAAUUAACGAUCUCGACUUACUUAGAAAAGUUGGGUCGUUACAU
rnacentral:lncRNA from 1 species